rnacentral:misc_RNA from 1 species
UGGAUCACACGGGCCCCAAUG